AAAAAAAAAAAAAGAACAGUCCCAGCGUCCAUCACUAGGGUUUUGGCGUCUCCCACAUAAUCACCCGAUCAGUCUCUAGAUCUCUCCCUGCCCAUUCUCUCCCCUCAUCCAUGGCGAUUCCCGGCCCCUACUCCGGCGUCAGCACCCUCGCCUUCGUAGCUCGCGCAUCGGCGUUCGCCUUCGGCAUCGUCUACGGGAGCAUGAAGCUGUCCUACCUCCAGGCAAAGGCAAAAUCUCAUAAAAAAGCGGAGGCAAAAGGACACCAUUGAAUUGGAAAUACAUAUCUCUGUCUCUUGAUUCACAAGGACAUGAUUUGAGUGUUUACUUUGAUUGAUUGCGGCAUCAUGCUUGUUCCUCCUUUCUUUCCCAAGAAAACUGCAAGGAGGAUGGUUGACAUUUAUCCUGUUCUGAUAAAAGAGGAGUUGGUAUAUGCGAAUUUGAAAAAAAUAAAAAAGAAAGAUGACAAUUUUAAGUGUCUCUGUUAUGGAGCCAAUAUUUGUAGUUCCUUUCUUACUAUUGCCAGUGCACCUUCUCCCCUUAUUUUGACAUA